rnacentral:misc_RNA from 1 species
CAACCCUCAAGCUCUGCUUGGUAUUGGACAUAUCACCGCUCUAUGGUGGGUCUUAAAAUCUGUGGCGGUGCCAUUUGGCUUCAAGCGUAGUAAUACUUUUCGCUCUGGGGUCAGGUGGACUCUUGCCAACAAACCCUCACUUCAAU